UUUCGGUAAGCUACCAAGGGCAUACGGUGGAUGCCUUGGCACGCGGAGGCGAUGAAGGACGCGGCUACCGGCGAAACACCCCGGGAAGGUGGAAGCAACCUGUGAUCCGGGGGUCUCCGAAUGGGGCAACCCGACAGGCUUCAUCGCCUGUCGCCCGAAUGGGCGCCAACCCAGGGAAGUGAAACAUCUCAGUACCUGGAGGAAAAGAAAUCAACCGAGAUUCCCCUAGUAGUGGCGAGCGAACGGGGAAGAGCCCAAACCGGCUCCCAUGUGGAGCCGGGGUUGUAGGACCCGCACACGACCCCAAGCACGAUAGCAGAAUGGUCUGGAAAGGCCAGCCAAAGAAGGUGAUAGCCCUGUACGCGAAAUCGUGCGUACGGUCGCGGUGUUCCUGAGUAGCGCGGGGCACGUGAAACCCUGCGUGAAGCUGGGGGGACCACCCUCCAAGGCUAAAUACUCCCGCGUGACCGAUAGUGCACCAGUACCGUGAGGGAAAGGUGAAAAGAACCCUUCAGAAGGGAGUGAAAUAGAACCUGAAACCGUAUGCCUACAAACGGUCGGAGCUCGUUCCCCGGAACGAGUGACGGCGUGCCUUUUGCUUAAUGAGCCAACGAGUUGCUCGUCCCAUGCGAGGAUAAGGGUGUCGAACACCCGCAUCCGUAGCGAAAGCGAGUCUGAAACGGGCGCCACAGUAUGGGGCGGCAAACGCGAAACCGGGUGAUCUACCCAUGGCCAGGGUGAAGUGUGGGUAACACCACAUGGAGGCCCGAACCGGUGUGGGUUGAAAACCGCUCGGAUGAGCUGUGGGUAGGGGUGAAAGGCCAAUCAAACUCGGUAAUAGCUCGUACUCCCCGAAAUGUUUUUAGGAACAGCCUCGUGCAGGUAUGCCGGAGGUAGGGCUCUGAUUGGGCUAGGGCUGUCACAACGGUACCGACCCCAGAUAAACUGCAAAUUCCGGCCAUACAACGCACGGGAGUGAGGCGGCGAGGGAUAAGCUUCGUCGCCGAGAGGGAAACAACCCAGACCGCCAGCUAAGGUCCCCAAGUGGACGCUAACAGAGAAAGGAUGUUUCGCUGCCCAGACAGCCAGGAUGUUAGCUUAGAAGCAGCUAUCAUUCAAAGAGUGCGUAAUAGCUCACUGGUCGAGCGGCGAAGCGCCGACAAUUCUCGGGACUGCAAGCGUCCCACCGAAGCUGCGGACUCUGCCCUACGGGCGGAGUGGUAGGGGAGCAUUCUGCACUGCGUCGAAGGUGCACCGCGAGGUGUGCUGGAGCGUGCAGAAGAGCAAAUGUUGGCAUAAGUAGCGACAACGAAGGUGAGAAUCCUUCGCGCCGAAAGUCUAAGGGUUCCUGAGCUACGUUCGUCGUCUCAGGGUUAGUCGGCCCCUAAGGCCAGGCCAAACGGCGUAACCGAUGGGAAGCAGGUGACUUGCAAUAUUCCUGCACCACCAAAGGCGUCCAGCACGGUGACGCAGACGCGAGGUCCGGCGGAGCUCCUGGCAAUCUCCGUCGGGCGUAGCACGCUGCCGAGAAAGAGCUGUGUGUAUCGCCGCGGUGACCGUACCGCAAACCGACACAGGUAGACGGGUUGAGUAUACUCAGGCGCGCGUGUGAGCCGUGGCUAAGGAACUCGGCAAAUUAGCCCCGUAACUUCGGGAGAAGGGGCGCUCCCGCAAGGGAGCCGCAGUGAAAGGGCCCAAGCGACUGUUUAUCAAAAACACAGCACUCUGCGAACUCGUCAAGAGGACGUAUAGGGUGUGACACCUGCCCGGUGCCGGAAGGUUAAAGGGAGGGGUUAGCCGCAAGGCGAAGCUCCGAACUGAAGCCCCGGUAAACGGCGGCCGUAACUAUAACGGUCCUAAGGUAGCGAAAUUCCUUGUCGGGUAAGUUCCGACCUGCACGAA
rnacentral:rRNA from 1 species